UGGGGAAUAUUGCACAAUGGGCGCAAGCCUGAUGCAGCCAUGCCGCGUGUAUGAAGAAGGCCUUCGGGUUGUAAAUUACUUUCAGCGGGGAGGAAGGGAGUAAAGUUAAUACCUUUGCUCAUUGACGUUACCCGCAGAAGAAGCACCGGCUAACUCCGUGCCAGCAGCCGCGGUAAUACGGAGGGUGCAAGCGUUAAUCGGAAUUACUGGGCGUAAAGCGCACGCAGGCGGUUUGUUAAGUCAGAUGUGAAAUCCCCGGGCUCAACCUGGGAACUGCAUCGGAUACUGGCAAGCUUGAGUCUCGGAGAGGGGGGUAGAAUGCCAGGUGUAGCGGUGAAAUGCGUAGAGAUCUGGAGGAAUACCGGUGGCGAAGGCGGCCCCCUGGACGAAGACUGACGCUCAGGUGCGAAAGCGUGGGGAGCAAACAGG
rnacentral:rRNA from 1 species